rnacentral:lncRNA from 1 species
UUUUUUUAAACAUGAAUUAGGCCGUUAGGUUUCUCGUUUGAAUAGUUGUCCUUUAAGGAUCAUUUAUAGCUGACUAUGCAGUAAGGAUUUUGUUCGUUGUUAAAUGCCGUAAGGUGACCUACAGUUAUUAGUUAUUGUGUCAUUUAGUAUCUUGUUGAGAGUUGUCUCAUUGGCAAUCAUAUCACAUCUUCAUUCUAUAUUGUAGACACCAGUCUAGUUUUAUUAACAGUGUUAAUGACUACAAUAUUUAAUAUUUUAACUGGAGGUACAAUUCGUUAUUUCAUCCUCAAAACAUAAAAUGAG